GACGAACGCUGGCGGCAUGCUUAACACAUGCAAGUCGAACGGAAACGCGCUGCCUGGAGGGUGCUCGAGUGGCGAAGGGGUGAGUAACACCGGGAUGAGCUGCACCGUGCUGGGGGAUAAGCCGAGGGAACUGGUUCUACUACUUGAGAGGACCAGGCGGUAGCUGGUGAGGUGAAGAGAUUAGUUGCGGUAAGGGGUGGGCGCGCGGCCUAUCAGCUUGUUGGUGGGGUAAUGGCCUAGCACGGCGUCGACGGGUGGCCGGCCUGAAAGGGUGGACGGCCACGUUGGGACUGCGACAGGGGGCAGACUCCUGGGAGAGUGAGCAGUGGGGCCAAGUCCACAAUAGGCACAAGCCUGAUGGAGCGAAGGCCCGUGGGGGAUGAAGGCCUUCGGGUUGUAAAAUAAUUUCAGCCAUGAAGACGCGCUUGUGGUGACGGUAGCGUAAGAAGAAGCACCGGCUAACUACGUG
rnacentral:rRNA from 1 species